UCCUAUUUCCGGGCGAUGGAUAUGACCCCUAUGUGACUCUCAGCUUCACCAUCAGCCAAAAUCUGGAUGCAUCCCAUCUUUGAUCCUCCUGCACUCCUCGCCCCCUUGUAAGGUUUCAUUGCGAGGUCUGAUUUUUUUCAGAAUUUAAUUUGGUUCCUUCAUCUCCUUUCCUAAGUUUUGGAUUUGCCACAAUGAUUUCCUUCUCAUACAAUUUUAGUAAGACCAUCGCAUCGAUUGAUUGGUUAGGAGGAGGCCAGCAUCCAACAAGACAUGGUGCAGCAAAAUUAUCUAAUCAGGUCAGUGUGUUGUACCUUCGUCUGUUCUUAGCUUCAUUCUUUGUUGAAAUUAUUCAUCUCCUGAUUUUGUUGCUUAGUUGUGAUAUAUUUCCAUACACGUGUUGUCUCUAGAUAUCUGGAAACCUGUGACGAAAUUGGUUGCUCGAAUGGUCAACUCCAUUACCGAGAGUCUUUUAGUCUUACUAUACUGUUAUAUGCUAGGAAAUUGUGAUGCAUAUAGUACUUUACUAUACUGUGAAUGGUCAAGUAGUUAAUUAGGAUAAAACCAUGGCACCGGCUGACUUGCUCAAAAUAUAUUGACAAUUUUUUUUACUUUUGAGAUAUCGGUUAGUUCUUUGCUGAUGCACCAGUGCACUUGCUUUUUAGGACUGAUACAUCUUCCUAUAUGUAUCAGAACCAUACAUCCAUCUUGAUCAUCACUAUGUUUAUCUGGCUCUAUAUUGGCGUAUAUGUUAGAUAUCACUUUAAUGGCCUUGGUGAUCCAAAACCCUUAGUUAAUUAAUCAAAUUAUUUGAUACUAUUUACGGGGUAGGAAAUAUUUAUGUGAGCGGGUUUAUUUAGUACAUGUACGUGUAAUCCGUUUUCAGCAAAUUUUUGGUACUUACAUCACCUGUCAAGAGAGAAAAAAAAGAUAUCUAUCUUCACCGACAGUCCAUGGUCCUUGAAUGUAUAUACAUAAAUUCCUUGUGAAGAAACGAACAUAAGCUUAUACAACUUCUCUUAGUAUGUAGCUUUUCUUUUAUCAUGUUUUACUUGCAAAUGAUUUUUUAUAGCACUGAGCGCUGUAUGACGAUGAUUAUGGCUUAUGAGCAUUUUUAGUAUACUGGUGUUCUGAAGGUUGUACUUGUAGCAAUAUCAUGAUGAUCUUUUUUCAUGCACCAAAUAUGUGAUGAUUGGUUGCCUUCUUUCCCAUCAGUGUUGGAUGCAGCAGUCGAUUGUUAUUUCCAUUGAACCGCUGCCUGGAUUGUUACCGAGCUAACGAAGGAUGUCCAUGGAACUCACUGGUACCUGUGCCCAUAGGGUUGCCAUCCAUAUUGUGGAGUUGCAGAAGGUAGAGAAAAUAUCUACUUCAGACUUCAUUCCCUCUUGUGAUUAGGGUAGUGAGUUUUUUAUUCUUGCAAAAAUGACAUGAUCGAGAUAUCAAUAGUAAUGGAUUUUGUCUUGGUGUGUUUGUGCUAAAAACGUGCUCUUAUCAAUUUAGUUAGCGUCCUGCAGAGGACAUGUUUCUCAGGAAAGAUAUAUCAUGUAUGCAAAGCUAAAAUCAUAAUAUGAAGAUUUUACUUCCAU
rnacentral:lncRNA from 1 species